UUUUUUGGAGAGUUUGAUCCUGGCUCAGGACGAACGCUGGCGGCGUGCUUAACACAUGCAAGUCGAACGAUGAAGCCGCAGCUUGCUGUGGUGGAUUAGUGGCGAACGGGCGAGUAACACGUGAGUAACCUGUCCUUUUCUUUGGGAUAACGGCUGGAAACGGCUGCUAAUACUGGAUAUUCAGGCGUCACCGCAUGGUGGUGUUUGGAAAGGUUUUUUCUGGGAUUGGGUGGGCUCGCGGCCUAUCAGCUUGUUGGUGGGGUGAUGGCUUACCAAGGCUUUGACGGGUAGCCGGCCUGAGAGGGUGGUCGGUCGCACUGGGACUGAGAUACGGCCCAGACUCCUACGGGAGGCAGCAGUGGGGAAUAUUGCACAAUGGACGAAAGUUUGAUGCAGCGACGCCGCGUGGAGGGUGUAGGCCUUCGGGUUGUGAACUCCUUUUUCUCGCGAAAAAGGCACAGUUUUGGCUGUGUUGAUGGUAGUGGGGGAAGAAGCGCCGGCUAACUACGUGCCAGCAGCCGCGGUAAUACGUAGGGCGCGAGCGUUGUCCGGAUUUAUUGGGCGUAAAGAGCUCGUAGGUGGUUCGUCGCGUCUGUCGUGAAAGCCAGCAGCUUAACUGUUGGUCUGCGGUGGGUACGGGCGGGCUUGAGUGCGGUAGGGGUGACUGGAAUUCCUGGUGUAGCGGUGGAAUGCGCAGAUAUCAGGAGGAACACCGAUGGCGAAGGCAGGUCACUGGGUCGUUACUGACACUGAGGAGCGAAAGCGUGGGGAGCGAACAGGAUUAGAUACCCUGGUAGUCCACGCUGUAAACGUUGGGAACUAGGUGUGGGGAUGCUAUCCUGUGUUUCUGCGCCGUAGCUAACGCAUUAAGUUCCCCGCCUGGGGAGUACGGUCGCAAGGCUAAAACUCAAAGGAAUUGACGGGGGCCCGCACAAGCGGCGGAGCAUGCGGAUUAAUUCGAUGCAACGCGAAGAACCUUACCAAGGCUUGACAUACACUGCGAUGGUUCCAGAGAUGGGCCAGCCUUCGGGGUGGUGUACAGGUGGUGCAUGGUUGUCGUCAGCUCGUGUCGUGAGAUGUUGGGUUAAGUCCCGCAACGAGCGCAACCCUUGCCUCAUGUUGCCAGCGGUUCGGCCGGGGACUCGUGAGGGACUGCCGGGGUUAACUCGGAGGAGGGUGGGGAUGACGUCAAAUCAUCAUGCCCCUUAUGUCUUGGGCUUCACGCAUGCUACAAUGGCCAGUACAGAGGGUUGCGAUACCGUGAGGUGGGGCUAAUCUCUUAAAGCUGGUCUCGGUUCGGAUUGGGGUCUGCAACUCGACCCCAUGAAGUUGGAGUCGCUAGUAAUCGCAGAUCAGCAUUGCUGCGGUGAAUACGUUCUCGGGCCUUGUACACACCGCCCGUCACGUCACGAAAGUUGGUAACACCCGAAGCCCGUGGCUUAACUCUUUUUGAGGGGGAGCGGUCGAAGGUGGGAUUGGCGAUUGGGACGAAGUCGUAACAAGGUAGCCGUACCGGAAGGUGCGGCUGGAUCACCUCCUUUCUAGGGAG
rnacentral:rRNA from 1 species